GAUGAAGAACGCAGCGAAAGUGCGAAACGUAAUGUGAAUUGCAGAAUUCAGUGAAUCAUCGAAUCUUUGAACGCACCUUGCGCCCUUUGGCUAUUCUGAAGGGCAUGCCUGUUUGAGUAUCGUGAACACCUCAACUCUCAUGGUCUGCCAUGAUGAGCUUGGACUUUGGGGGUCUUGCUGGCCUACUGUCAGCUCCUCUCAAAUGAAUCAGCUUACCAGUGUUUGGUGGCACCACAGGUGUGAUAACUAUCUACGCUUGUGGUUUUCUGCCAGGUAACCUCCAGUGAUGGAGGUUCGCUGGAGCUCACAAAUGUCUCUCCUCAGCGAGGACAGCUUUUUGAACGUUUGAUCUCAAAUCAGGUAGGACUACCCGCUGAACUUAAGCAUAUCAAUAAGCGGAGGA
rnacentral:misc_RNA from 1 species